rnacentral:lncRNA from 1 species
UGAGUAGGGAGCUACUCGAGAGUGGGCCUUUUCAGUGGUAGCUCCCCCAUGUUAUACAAUACACUUCCUUAAAGAGGUCCACCAGGGUACCUAUUUUAUUAUGUCUUCAGCACUAGGAAAACUUCUGUCCAUUCUUUUGAGGCCUCUUAAUGUUCUUGUACGUUUGCUGCUACAUGUACAAUUUAUCACCAAUAUGUUUUUAGAAUUGUAGAAUGCCAAAAUAUGAAUGAGAUCCGAAAGUGUUUUUCACCUGACCAGUUUGCAGCCUUUUUUAAAUCUAAAGUCGAGGCCAUCCGACGGGACCUCUCUCCUUUUUUGAACACAGUAAGUCGAGCAGAGAUGUCCAGCGCUCCGUCUUGCCUGGUAACCCUUGACUCCUUUCAACCUAUCACGCCUGAUUCUGUGGCCAGAGUGCUUGACCGCUGUCGAGCCACCACCUCCUCCUUGGACCCUUGCCCGGCCAGGCUAAUCAAAGCAGCCAGGCCGAUAACAACAGAAUGGGCCACUGCAAUAAUAAAUGGGUCUUUCCUUGAGGGCAGGUUUCCCUCUGCCCUCAAGGAGACACUCAUUAGGCCCAUAAGAAAGAAACCUAAUUUGGCGGCAGACAAAAUUGGCAACUAUAGGCCCGUCGCCAAUAUUUCUUUCAUGAGCAAAGUAGUCGAGAGGGUGGUGGCUGACCAGCUUCAGGCACAUCUGGAUGAAACAGAUGCCCUGGAUCCUUUUCAGUCGGGCUUCAGGCCGUGCCAUGGUACAGAGACGGCAUUGGUCGCCCUAUACGAUGACUUGUUGAGGGAGGCCGACAGCGGUAAAAUUUCUUUGUUGGUCCUCCUCGACAUCUCGGCAGGCUUCAAUACCGUUGACCACGGUAUCCUCCUGGUGAGGCUCUCUGAGUUGGGUAUCGGUGCCAUGGCUCUGGCCUGGUCCCGUUCCUUCUUGGAGGACCACCCACAGAGAGUGCAGCUUGGGGAGAAUGUCUCGGCCCCGUGGAGUCUCAAAUGUGGGGUUCCACAGGGGUCGACUAUUUCCCCAAUGCUGUUUAACAUCUAUAUGAGGCCGCUGGGUGGGGUCAUCAGGGNNNNNNNNNNNNNNNNNN